UGGAAGACUGAUACACGAGAUUCGUUUACUCGUUCAUCUCGUCACUGGAUUUUCCUAUAAAAAAUUGCCUUCUGAUGACUGUAACUUGUGAAGAUUUAAUUUACAGACAGAUACGGGGCAUACAAGA